AGCCCCUGAUGCUGGGUCCUUUGCCCUUGAACUGGACUGCUGGAGGCUGAACUCGGGUACAUGAAGAUUCUUCAUCUAGUGUCUUACGUGUCACUGUCUGCAAAAGGAUCUUCUGUUCCAGAGCACAGGCUGAAAGCUAGAGACAAGCAGCACUCGUUACGCCUGUAAGGAUAUCAUGAAUUUAACAGGGACCAAACCUCAGGGAGGAGUCCCCAAGAAACAUCCCCCGAGAAAGACUAGGAGGAAGAAGCUAGAAACCAGGCCCUAGGGCGCUGAGAGGCAGCCAGAAAGAUUUUCCAGCAUGGUCACCACCUCCUCCCCACUCUCUGGAUGAUGUUCCUGCAGCCGGGCCUGGAGCUCCUGGGGCAGGAUGGAGAGGAAC